UCACAGUCAGAGAGUGGUGUCUCUCUACAGUCAGAGGUUUUUGUACAGCGGCUCAAUGAGUUUGUAUCACUGUGGUACACGUUCGGUGGAGGAACCAGACUGGAUGUUGGAAGUGACAGGCCCCCCACCCUGACGGUGCUGCCCCCCUCCAGAGAGGAGCUGCAGCAGGGGAAGGCCACGCUCAUGUGCCUGGCCAACAAGGGCUUCCCCUCAGGCUGGAGUCUGAGCUGGAAGGUGGAGGACAGCAGCAGCAGCAGCAGCUGGGAGGAGAGCAGGAGCCCCGGGGUGCUGCAGAAGGACGGCCUCUACAGCUGGAGCAGCACCCUGAGGCUCCCUGCAGACCAGUGGAGGAAGGUGGGCUCUGUGACCUGUGAGGCCACCCAGGGCUCCCAGACUCCCCUCAGAGAGACACUGAGGAGAGACCAGUGUUCCCAGUCCUGACCGGACUCACUGGGACUCUCACACUGCUUUGACUCUCACACUCAUCUCACCUCUGUCAUUCACUCUCUUUCACUUUCUUC